GUUUUUGUCAAAUUUGGGCAUCGGUCCGUUCGUCGCUUCCUGCGAAUAACAUCAUAAAGCGUCACCCCGCUAAACCUAAUUAUCGCCUUCGUUCAUACGAAUCUGAUCUCGGCGGCGAGAAUGACGAUCCAUCGUUCUCCUUCUCCCUGUAACAGAACUUGACUUUAAUGGCAUCAAUGCGUCCGUCGAGAUCUCCGUUAUAAAUAGGUUUUUUUUUUUUCUGAUUUGAAGACCAGGAAGUGUUCAAACGUUAAGCGGGAUGGAUAUUGCGGCUUCAUCUAAUCUCUUUGCAAUCUAAUCGCGUCUUCACACAGCUUCUUCCCCGUUUAUCUCCGCACCAAACAGGAAUUGAGUUUUUAUCCUCGCCAAAUCAUGCCCAGACAAUCAGAGCUUCGGUUCGAACGAUUCCAAUUCUUCACUGGAGACAAACCAACGAAACCCAUGUGCAAAGUCUGGGUCUUUUUAUAUUUAUCAAUAUUAAAUUCACUAUUUUGUGAAAGUCAAAUAUCUUUUUCUUGGCUUCCAUUGAUGCUAAGAACAUUAGUGUAUGUAUUUAAAUGUUACUGGUCACUGUAAGUUUGGGAGCUGAGCUAGCUGUAGUUUAAAAUCUACACUUGUGUAUGCACGUGCUUGAAUGAUGACAUGUGUGUGCUUAUCUCCAGCUUUAAUUACCAAUGCCUACACUUUGGUCUCUGUACAAAACGCAGAUGCUUUAGACAAGAAACCAUGAGUUUGCCGUAACUGCCAGGGCAUUGGUACUGUUCUUUGUGAUAUGUGCGGGGAUACAAGAAAAUGGAAAGCUCCCAACCGAAAACGAGCCAAAGAUAGGUUUGAGUUUACAGAAUGUCCGAACUGUUAAGGUGGAGGGUUUUCCCAGUCUGUUUAGGUACAUGUUUACCAAACAACAAAGGACUCCUUAGAAGGUGGUGCUCGUACAAUGUACAAUGGUUGUCUUCUUCCCAAUUCUUGAGCAGCACAAUGGCAAUAGUUAUGAUUAUAGAAGAGGAAGAAAAGUAAUACAUUGUCGACGCAUGUGAAGCUAUAGGAGAAUGGGAUGCUAGAACAUGUUUUUGUAAUGCUGCUAGAAAUGUGUUGUUAAUUCUUUACAAACCUAAGAGUUUUCUUCUUCCUUAGACAGUCUUGACGACUCAA